rnacentral:rRNA from 1 species
AUUGAACGCUGGCGGCAUGCCUUACACAUGCAAGUCGAACGGCAGCACGGGUGCUUGCACCUGGUGGCGAGUGGCGAACGGGUGAGUAAUACAUCGGAACGUACCUUAUCGUGGGGGAUAACGCAGCGAAAGUUGCGCUAAUACCGCAUACGCCCUGAGGGGGAAAGCGGGGGACCGUAAGGCCUCGCGCGAUUAGAGCGGCCGAUGUCUGAUUAGCUUGUUGGUGAGGUAAAAGCUCACCAAGGCGAUGAUCAGUAGCUGGUCUGAGAGGACGAUCAGCCACACUGGGACUGAGACACGGCCCAGACUCCUACGGGAGGCAGCAGUGGGGAAUUUUGGACAAUGGGGGCAACCCUGAUCCAGCAAUGCCGCGUGAGUGAAGAAGGCCUUCGGGUUGUAAAGCUCUUUUGUCAGGGAAGAAACAGCAGCUCUAACACAGUCCGGGAAUGACGGUACCUGAAGAAUAAGCACCGGCUAACUACGUGCCAGCCGCCGCCGUAA